rnacentral:rRNA from 1 species
ACUUGAAGAGAGAGUUCAAGAGUACGUGAAACCGUUCGGGGUAAACGUGAGAAACCCGAAAGUACAUCAACCGGAGAGAUUCAAGUCUAUCCGUGCUUUGCUCCCUAUACCGCCAGAUGGGUCUGACCUCCCGCACGAUUCAAUUCGGCGUCGGGGUGGCAACAGUUUUUACUCGGCGGUGUGGUGGUGGUGAAGUCGGAGGGCCGCACUUCUCUCCCCGUUGGACGUCGCGACCCGUUGGGUGUCGGUCUAAGGCGAGGGUGUGUAGUCUGUUCGUCCGCACCGCAAGGUGUGUUUGUCGGGCAGACCCCCUUUGUUCCCGGCCGACGGCUCGACGGUAUGUGUGCGUGGAGUUGAUUCGCCGCCCCUCGGGGUGGGCGUCUGACCCUCGGCAAGCGCGAGCGCGCGGCAUGGAUGACGGACCUCUGGCCCGGCUCCUGCCCCGCUCCGCUGUUAGCUCGAGUGUGUUUCGGACGGAAGAAUAUGUACUCCCGUCAGCGGCGCAAAAGCUUCGGGUAAUUUCACGACCCGUCUUGAAACACGGACCAAGGAGUCUAACAUGUGCGCGAGUCAUUGGGUUUGCUCUAAACCUAAAGGCGCAAUGAAAGUGAAGGUUCCGCCUCGUGCGGACCGAGGGAAGAUGGGGCGCGCUCCUGCGCUGCUCCCGCAUUCCCGGGGCGUCUCGUUCUCACUGCGAGUUGAGGCGCACCCAGAGCGUACACGUUGGGACCCGAAAGAUGGUGAACUAUGCCUGGCCAGGACGAAGUCAGGGGAAACCCUGAUGGAGGUCCGUAGCGAUUCUGACGUGCAAAUCGAUCGUCGGAGCUGGGUAUAGGGGCGAAAGACUAAUCGAACCAUCUAGUAGCUGGUUCCCUCCGAAGUUUCCCUCAGGAUAGCUGGUGCUCGAACGAGUCUCAUCCGGUCAAGCGAAUGAUUAGAGGCCUUGGGGCCGAAACGACCUCAACCUAUUCUCAAACUUUAAAUGGGUGAGAUCUCCGGCUUGCUUAAAGCAUUGAAGCCGCGAGAGAAUGAUUUGGAUCGGAGUGCCAAGUGGGCCACUUUUGGUAAGCAGAACUGGCGCUGUGGGAUGAACCAAACGCAGAGUUAAGGCGCCCGAAUAGACGCUCAUGGGAAACCAUGAAAGGCGUUGGUUGCUUAAGACAGCAGGACGGUGGCCAUGGAAGUCGGAAUCCGCUAAGGAGUGUGUAACAACUCACCUGCCGAAGCAACUAGCCCUGAAAAUGGAUGGCGCUGAAGCGUCUUGCCUAUACUCUGCCGUCAGCACGGCAAUGAGGGGUGCGCGGUUUCGCUUCGGCGGGCCCGCCCCGUGAUGCUCUGACGAGUAGGAGGGUCGCGGCGGUGAGCGCAGAAGGGUCUAGGCGUGAGCCUGCCUGGAGCCGCCGUCGGUGCAGAUCUUGGUGGUAGUAGCAAAUACUCCAGCGAGGCCCUGGAGGACUGACGUGGAGAAGGGUUUCGUGUGAACAGCCGUUGCACACGAGUCAGUCGAUCCUAAGCCCUAGGAGAAAUCCGAUGUCGAUGGAGUCCGCGACUGUGGUAAUAGGACUCCAUUGGGCGAAAGGGAAUCCGGUUCCUAUUCCGGAACCCGGCAGCGGAACCGUUCUAUGUCGGGCCCCUCGCAAGAGAAGCUCGUCGGGGUAACCCAACAGGACCCGGAGACGCCGUCGGGAGAUCGGGGAAGAGUUUUCUUUUCUGCAUGAGCGUUCGAGUUCCCUGGAAUCCUCUAGCAGGGAGAUAGGGUUUGGAACGCGAAGAGCACCGCAGU